rnacentral:tRNA from 1 species
GCACCGUCAGCGCCACCGCGGCCUCCACCUGCUCGUCCGGCGUUCCGCAGCGCUCCACCAGGUCCAGGUCGCU